GUACAACCCACAUGUCCCAUUUGUGUGCGGCCCAUCAAAUUUCUCUUUCCACUUGAUGAAGAAAACGGAGUAUUCAAAGUUGAGUUGGCCCCCAGCUUUAAACAGGUUAUCGUAGGCGUCACGAAUGCAGGGACGCCUUUGAUGUCAUACAUCCGUACUCAGAAUGUGCAAGUGAUGGGGUACACCAAGACGACGAACAAUCCGUUUGCAGCUGAAUACAAACAACAACAGGAC